rnacentral:rRNA from 1 species
UAAGGGCGCACGGUGGAUGCCUUGGCACUAGAAGCCGAUGAAGGACGUUACUAACGACGAUAUGCUUUGGGGAGCUGUAAGUAAGCUUUGAUCCAGAGAUUUCCGAAUGGGGAAACCCAGCAUGAGUUAUGUCAUGUUAUCGAUAUGUGAAUACAUAGCAUAUCAGAAGGCACACCCGGAGAACUGAAACAUCUUAGUACCCGGAGGAAGAGAAAGAAAAUUCGAUUCCCUUAGUAGCGGCGAGCGAAACGGGAAGAGCCCAAACCAACAAGCUUGCUUGUUGGGGUUGUAGGACACUCUAUACGGAGUUACAAAGGACGACAUUAGACGAAUCAUCUGGAAAGAUGAAUCAAAGAAGGUAAUAAUCCUGUAGUCGAAAAUGUUGUCUCUCUUGAGUGGAUCCUGAGUACGACGGAGCACGUGAAAUUCCGUCGGAAUCUGGGAGGACCAUCUCCUAAGGCUAAAUACUCUCUAGUGACCGAUAGUGAACCAGUACCGUGAGGGAAAGGUGAAAAGCACCCCGGAAGGGGAGUGAAAUAGAACCUGAAACCGUGUGCUUACAAGUAGUCAGAGCCCGUUAAUGGGUGAUGGCGUGCCUUUUGUAGAAUGAACCGGCGAGUUACGAUUUGAUGCAAGGUUAAGCAGUAAAUGUGGAGCCGUAGCGAAAGCGAGUCUGAAUAGGGCGUUUAGUAUUUGGUCGUAGACCCGAAACCAGGUGAUCUACCCUUGGUCAGGUUGAAGUUCAGGUAACACUGAAUGGAGGACCGAACCGACUUACGUUGAAAAGUGAGCGGAUGAACUGAGGGUAGCGGAGAAAUUCCAAUCGAACCUGGAGAUAGCUGGUUCUCUCCGAAAUAGCUUUAGGGCUAGCCUCAAGUGAUGAUUAUUGGAGGUAGAGCACUGUUUGGACGAGGGGCCCCUCUCGGGUUACCGAAUUCAGACAAACUCCGAAUGCCAAUUAAUUUAACUUGGGAGUCAGAACAUGGGUGAUAAGGUCCGUGUUCGAAAGGGAAACAGCCCAGACCACCAGCUAAGGUCCCAAAAUAUAUGUUAAGUGGAAAAGGAUGUGGCGUUGCCCAGACAACUAGGAUGUUGGCUUAGAAGCAGCCAUCAUUUAAAGAGUGCGUAAUAGCUCACUAGUCGAGUGACACUGCGCCGAAAAUGUACCGGGGCUAAACAUAUUACCGAAGCUGUGGAUUGUCCUUUGGACAAUGGUAGGAGAGCGUUCUAAGGGCGUUGAAGCAUGAUCGUAAGGACAUGUGGAGCGCUUAGAAGUGAGAAUGCCGGUGUGAGUAGCGAAAGACGGGUGAGAAUCCCGUCCACCGAUUGACUAAGGUUUCCAGAGGAAGGCUCGUCCGCUCUGGGUUAGUCGGGUCCUAAGCUGAGGCCGACAGGCGUAGGCGAUGGAUAACAGGUUGAU